rnacentral:misc_RNA from 1 species
GGUGCUUAAGCUUGGAGCAAGAAGUGGACACUAUAAAAAGAAGAUGAUCAUUGAAAGCUGUGUUGGUUGAAUUGGUGAUCGUUAAGGUAGGGUCAGAGGAGAAGAGGAGAGAAAGAGAGGAGAGAAAUGGGUAGUUGGAGAGAAGAGAGAGCAAAGAUUGAAUUGUGGAAUUGUCAGGAGCAAAUCUAAGAGAAAGAGAGGUUCUGGAAGUACGAUAGAGACGGAGCC